UAACAAUCAUCUCCCUGGUGUCACUUGUUUGUGAGCCAUCUUGAGAUAGACCAUGGAAGAUUUGGUAGCAAGGGGGUACAGAUGUGCUGAUUUCCCUUACUCCUGGGAGUGGAGAAGACACAUCCACACUUGCACAGCCUUUGCUGUCAUCUUGUGUGGGACUGAACCAGCUGGCAGUGAGGGAGAAGAAACACCUCAUUACUUCAGUCAAGUAUUAGCCC